GGGUUGUGAGGUUAAGCGACUAAGCGUACACGGUGGAUGCCCUGGCAGUCAGAGGCGAUGAAGGACGUGCUAAUCUGCGAUAAGCGUCGGUAAGGUGAUAUGAACCGUUAUAACCGGCGAUUUCCGAAUGGGGAAACCCAGUGUGAUUCGUCACACUAUCAUUAACUGAAUCCAUAGGUUAAUGAGGCGAACCGGGGGAACUGAAACAUCUAAGUACCCCGAGGAAAAGAAAUCAACCGAGAUUCCCCCAGUAGCGGCGAGCGAACGGGGAGCAGCCCAGAGCCUGAAUCAGUGUGUGUGUUAGUGGAAGCGUCUGGAAAGGCGCGCGAUACAGGGUGACAGCCCCGUACACAAAAAUGCACAUGCUGUGAGCUCGAUGAGUAGGGCGGGACACGUGGUAUCCUGUCUGAAUAUGGGGGGACCAUCCUCCAAGGCUAAAUACUCCUGACUGACCGAUAGUGAACCAGUACCGUGAGGGAAAGGCGAAAAGAACCCCGGCGAGGGGAGUGAAAAAGAACCUGAAACCGUGUACGUACAAGCAGUGGGAGCACGCUUAGGCGUGUGACUGCGUACCUUUUGUAUAAUGGGUCAGCGACUUAUAUUCUGUAGCAAGGUUAACCGAAUAGGGGAGCCGAAGGGAAACCGAGUCUUAACUGGGCGUUAAGUUGCAGGGUAUAGACCCGAAACCCGGUGAUCUAGCCAUGGGCAGGUUGAAGGUUGGGUAACACUAACUGGAGGACCGAACCGACUAAUGUUGAAAAAUUAGCGGAUGACUUGUGGCUGGGGGUGAAAGGCCAAUCAAACCGGGAGAUAGCUGGUUCUCCCCGAAAGCUAUUUAGGUAGCGCCUCGUGAAUUCAUCUCCGGGGGUAGAGCACUGUUUCGGCAAGGGGGUCAUCCCGACUUACCAACCCGAUGCAAACUGCGAAUACCGGAGAAUGUUAUCACGGGAGACACACGGCGGGUGCUAACGUCCGUCGUGAAGAGGGAAACAACCCAGACCGCCAGCUAAGGUCCCAAAGUCAUGGUUAAGUGGGAAACGAUGUGGGAAGGCCCAGACAGCCAGGAUGUUGGCUUAGAAGCAGCCAUCAUUUAAAGAAAGCGUAAUAGCUCACUGGUCGAGUCGGCCUGCGCGGAAGAUGUAACGGGGCUAAACCAUGCACCGAAGCUGCGGCAGCGACGCUGAUGCGUUGUUGGGUAGGGGAGCGUUCUGUAAGCCUGCGAAGGUGUGCUGUGAGGCAUGCUGGAGGUAUCAGAAGUGCGAAUGCUGACAUAAGUAACGAUAAAGCGGGUGAAAAGCCCGCUCGCCGGAAGACCAAGGGUUCCUGUCCAACGUUAAUCGGGGCAGGGUGAGUCGACCCCUAAGGCGAGGCCGAAAGGCGUAGUCGAUGGGAAACAGGUUAAUAUUCCUGUACUUGGUGUUACUGCGAAGGGGGGACGGAGAAGGCUAUGUUGGCCGGGCGACGGUUGUCCCGGUUUAAGCGUGUAGGCUGGUUUUCCAGGCAAAUCCGGAAAAUCAAGGCUGAGGCGUGAUGACGAGGCACUACGGUGCUGAAGCAACAAAUGCCCUGCUUCCAGGAAAAGCCUCUAAGCAUCAGGUAACAUCAAAUCGUACCCCAAACCGACACAGGUGGUCAGGUAGAGAAUACCAAGGCGCUUGAGAGAACUCGGGUGAAGGAACUAGGCAAAAUGGUGCCGUAACUUCGGGAGAAGGCACGCUGAUAUGUAGGUGAAGUCCCUCGCGGAUGGAGCUGAAAUCAGUCGAAGAUACCAGCUGGCUGCAACUGUUUAUUAAAAACACAGCACUGUGCAAACACGAAAGUGGACGUAUACGGUGUGACGCCUGCCCGGUGCCGGAAGGUUAAUUGAUGGGGUUAGCGCAAGCGAAGCUCUUGAUCGAAGCCCCGGUAAACGGCGGCCGUAACUAUAACGGUCCUAAGGUAGCGAAAUUCCUUGUCGGGUAAGUUCCGACCUGCACGAAUGGCGUAAUGAUGGCCAGGCUGUCUCCACCCGAGACUCAGUGAAAUUGAACUCGCUGUGAAGAUGCAGUGUACCCGCGGCAAGACGGAAAGACCCCGUGAACCUUUACUAUAGCUUGACACUGAACAUUGAGCCUUGAUGUGUAGGAUAGGUGGGAGGCUUUGAAGUGUGGACGCCAGUCUGCAUGGAGCCGACCUUGAAAUACCACCCUUUAAUGUUUGAUGUUCUAACGUUGACCCGUGAUCCGGGUUGCGGACAGUGUCUGGUGGGUAGUUUGACUGGGGCGGUCUCCUCCUAAAGAGUAACGGAGGAGCACGAAGGUUGGCUAAUCCUGGUCGGACAUCAGGAGGUUAGUGCAAUGGCAUAAGCCAGCUUGACUGCGAGCGUGACGGCGCGAGCAGGUGCGAAAGCAGGUCAUAGUGAUCCGGUGGUUCUGAAUGGAAGGGCCAUCGCUCAACGGAUAAAAGGUACUCCGGGGAUAACAGGCUGAUACCGCCCAAGAGUUCAUAUCGACGGCGGUGUUUGGCACCUCGAUGUCGGCUCAUCACAUCCUGGGGCUGAAGUAGGUCCCAAGGGUAUGGCUGUUCGCCAUUUAAAGUGGUACGCGAGCUGGGUUUAGAACGUCGUGAGACAGUUCGGUCCCUAUCUGCCGUGGGCGCUGGAGAACUGAGGGGGGCUGCUCCUAGUACGAGAGGACCGGAGUGGACGCAUCACUGGUGUUCGGGUUGUCAUGCCAAUGGCACUGCCCGGUAGCUAAAUGCGGAAGAGAUAAGUGCUGAAAGCAUCUAAGCACGAAACUUGCCCCGAGAUGAGUUCUCCCUGACUCCUUGAGAGUCCUGAAGGAACGUUGAAGACGACGACGUUGAUAGGCCGGAUGUGUAAGCGCAGCGAUGCGUUGAGCUAACCGGUACUAAUGAACCGUGAGGCUUAACCUUACAACGCCGAAGGUGUUU
rnacentral:rRNA from 1 species